rnacentral:rRNA from 1 species
GAUGAACGCUGGCGGCGUGCCUAAUACAUGCAAGUCGAGCGAACAGAUGAGGAGCUUGCUCCUCUGACGUUAGCGGCGGACGGGUGAGUAACACGUGGAUAACCUACCUAUAAGACUGGGAUAACUUCGGGAAACCGGAGCUAAUACCGGAUAUUAUAUUGAACCGCAUGGUUCAAUAGUGAAAGACGGUUUUGCUGUCACUUAUAGAUGGAUCCGCGCCGCAUUAGCUAGUUGGUAAGGUAACGGCUUACCAAGGCAACGAUGCGUAGCCGACCUGAGAGGGUGAUCGGCCACACUGGAGCUUAGACACGGUCCAGACUCCUACGGGAGGCAGCAGUAGGGAAUCUUCCGCAAUGGGCGAAAGCCUGGCGGAGCAACGCCGCGUGAGUGAUGAAGGUCUUCGGAUCGUAAAACUCUGUUAUUAGGGAAGAACAAAUGUGUAAGUAACUAUGCACGUCUUGACGGUACCUAAUCAGAAAGCCACGGCUAACUACGUG